AGGAGGAACAGCCCCAGUGGCGGGGCAGCUCUGGAAACCUGGAUUCAGCUCCGGCAGGAACUCCGUCUGCAGGGCCUGGAGGCUCCGGGGCGGC
rnacentral:pre_miRNA from 1 species